UCUAAUAUGGCAGAAUAGUGCCAUGGAUUUAAGCUUCAUAUAUAAAGUUCAUCUUUUGUUAGAA
rnacentral:tRNA from 1 species